GAAAUGCGAUAAGUAAUGUGAAUUGCAGAAUUCAGUGAAUCAUCGAAUCUUUGAACGCACAUUGCGCCCGCCAGUAUUCUGGCGGGCAUGCCUGUCCGAGCGUCAUUUCAACCAUCAAGCCCCCGGGCUUGUGUUGGGGACCUGCGGCUGCCCGCAGGCCCUGAAAACCAGUGGCGGGCUCGCUGUCACACCGAGCGUAGUAGCAAUCACCUUGCUCAGGGCGUGCUGCGGGUUCCGGCCGUUAAACAGCCUUACAAAACCCAAGGUUGACCUCGGAUCAGGUAGGAAGACCCGCUGAACUUAAGC
rnacentral:misc_RNA from 1 species